UCUUUGGAGAGUUUGAUCCUGGCUCAGGACGAACGCUGGCGGCGUGCCUAAUACAUGCAAGUCGAGCGA
rnacentral:rRNA from 1 species